UACGUAGGGGGCAAGCGUUGUCCGGAUUUAUUGGGCGUAAAGGGCGCGUAGGCGGCCGAUCAAGUCGGGGGUGAAAGCCUGUGGCUCAACCACAGAAUUGCCUUCGAUACUGUUUGGCUUGAGACCGGAAGAGGUUAGUGGAACUGCGAGUGUAGAGGUGAAAUUCGUAGAUAUUCGCAAGAACACCAGUGGCGAAGGCGGCUGACUGGUCCGGUUCUGACGCUGAGGCGCGAAAGCGUGGGGAGCAAACAGG
rnacentral:rRNA from 1 species